CGAGUUUGAUCCUGGCUCAGGAUGAACGCUAGCGGCAGGCUUAAUACAUGCAAGUCAAGGGGGUAGCAAUACAACCGGCGCACGGGUGAGUAACGCGUACACAACAUACCAUAUACUGGAGUAUAGCUUUGGGAAACUGAAGGUAAUCCUCCAUAACAUUGCGAGAGGGCAUCUGAUUGCAAUUAAAGUUUCGGCGGUAUAUGAUUGGUGUGCGUUUGAUUAGCUAGUUGGUAGGGUAACGGCCUACCAAGGCGACGAUCAAUAGCUGGCGUGAGAGCGCGACCAGCCACACUGGAACUGAGACACGGUCCAGACUCCUACGGGAGGCAGCAGUAGGGAAUAUUGGACAAUGGAGGAAACUCUGAUCCAGCCAUGCCGCGUGAUAGAUGAAGGCCCUCUGGGUUGUAAAUAUCUUUUAUCUGGGAAGAAACACUCCUAUUCUUAGGAACUUGACGGUACCAGAGGAAUAAGCACCGGCUAACUCCGUG
rnacentral:rRNA from 1 species